CCUACGGGAGGCAGCAGUGGGGAAUUGUUCACAAUGGGCGCAAGCCUGAUGACGCAACGCCGCGUGGAGGAUGAAGGUCUUCGGAUUGUAAACUCCUGUUGCCCGGGACGCGGUACCGGGUGAGGAAGCCCCGGCUAACUCUGUGCCAGCAGCCGCGGUAAUACAGAGGGGGCAAGCGUUGUUCGGAAUUACUGGGCGUAAAGGGCGCGUAGGCGGCCUGCUAAGUCGAACGUGAAAUCCCCGGGCUCAACCCGGGAACUGCGUCCGAUACUGGCUGGCUUGAAUCCGGGAGAGGGAUGCGGAAUUCCAGGUGUAGCGGUGAAAUGCGUAGAUAUCUGGAGGAACACCGGUGGCGAAGGCGGCAUCCUGGACCGGAUUGACGCUGAGGCGCGAAAGCCAGGGGAGCAAACGGGAUUAGAUACCCUAGUAGUC
rnacentral:rRNA from 1 species